UACAGAGGUCUCAAGCGUUUGUUCGGAUUCAUUGGGCGUAAAGGGUGCGUAGGCGGCGCGGUAAGUCGGGUGUGAAAUCUCGGAGCUUAACUCCGAAACUGCAUUCGAUACUGCCGUGCUUGAGGACUGGAGAGGAGACUGGAAUUUACGGUGUAGCGGUGAAAUGCGUAGAUAUCGUGAGGAAGACCAGUGGCGAAGGCGGGUCUCUGGACAGUUCCUGACGCUGAGGCACGAAGGCCAGGGGGAGCAAACGGG
rnacentral:rRNA from 1 species